CUCACCGAUACAUUCAACAAACAUUUGUGGGUUGCUAAACACGUGUGAGCUGCUGCUCUCCUAGCCACUUGGAAACAGGGAAGAUAGCCAAGCUACAAGAUGGUAGAGCCACAGAUGAGAGAAGACUGGAGUCCCUGAAUCUCUGCCUGGAAGAAAGCCACUUAACUAAAACACUCACAUUAGAUUGUCACACUAAAGUAAACAUUCAUUGUGCCUCUGAAAUUUGGGAGUUUCUUUAUUACAGUAGCUAACUUUAGGCUAACAUGUAAAGAAUGGAGAGAGAAGCUUCCAAUGCAGUCUUUUUCUAGCCAUAUCUGAAAUAAUGGAUAUAGUUGCAGCUGGAGUGACUCUGAAUUCUUCUGUAGUGUGAUCUUUGGAAAGAUAUUAACUUGGUAUCUUUGACAAAAUUAAUUUCACUUAAUAUAAAUAUAUAUGUUUUCUUUUAAA